UAAUCUGUUGGUGACAGAGAAAUUACAAGUAAGCUUUACUAAUGAUAAGUUAAAUGUUUGUUGUGUUUAAUGUCAAGGAAGGCGUGACGGAAGUAAUGUCAAUAUUGAGCUGGUAACUCGACAAGAGAGGAUGGAGACACAAGGCAUUACCGCCCCAGGAAGACGGAUUAUCUCCCGCUUACUUUUCCAGCACAUCUGAGCAGACGAUGUGGAAGGGCCUGGUGAUGUGCCCUUGAUUCUCCGCAUGAUGGCCGCUAAUCACGUCUGCCUCCCAACUCGUCAUCGAUCCAAGACCCGGUCCUGGCGGCCUGCACAUAGGGCCCACCCCGUCCUGCGCUCCACCCGCCUCUCGCUUGACAAGAUCCGCAUUAAGAACGCUGACAGGGCUCUACAGACGACCCACUGUGCGCGGAAAGUGCUGAGCAGAUGAGCCACCAUCAGAGAAGGCAGACGAUUGACGAUGUUCAGGGAUAAAUAUAGCCUGUGACGUCAGCACGCUGAAUGACGUCAGUCUACUCAGCAGCCAACCCACAGGAUGAUGACAUCAGCAAGACAAGACCUGCAGUACGAGGUUAUCGAUUGGCUGGGACUCGUCAAUAAUCUUGGUGGUGGUGUGGAGGGGCAUCUGUCGCCUGGUGUGACGAGAGAUGUUUUGUCUGUGAGCUCAUUAGUGCAUACAGCUUAUCUUUCUGCUCUCUCCAUUGUCGACAGCAACAACUGUUCCUGUAUCAACGUCGCCAGUGCAGACUUCCGGUCCAGUAAAUAUCAAGGAAGCAGUGUAGAGAGCUGAGUAUUCUCGUUACAGGAAUUCCCUCUCGACAAAGGACAAGGGGGUUGUGUGUGAAGGGAUAGGGGGGAGAGGCAGCAUGAUAAAGAGGACAGAUAUGUAAUGAAGCUAAUGAGGUGACGAGUGUCAGUGACUGUGCCAGUGACACUAUGCUGAUGGUGACGAGUGUCAGUGAGCGGUUUGUUUAGGUGAAGAGCGCGCCAGGCAAGAGCUUGCCUCCCCACCCCACUAACCCCCAUGUGAUGUAUCCAACAAACAGUUGGGGGGAACUUUAAGCAUAGCAUCCCCCCCUCUCUCCAACAGCUGAACAGCUCGCUCGCUUUAUCACAGGGGUCAAUCAAUAAAAACUGAAGAGUAUUACCAUGGGGGCGUCUGGACCAUCAAACAUGCAGAUUAGGGACCUGAUAGGCCGUCUGGCGUGUGAUCGGUUCAAGUGUUUAAAUAAUAGCCCUUGUUUCUCCUCGGGGGACGUAAAAUGGCGGCAAGAAGCGAAGUCGAUAACGCACCGCACGAUUCGCCAAGCAGCCCCGCCACGUACGGUGGGUGGUGGUGGUGAUGGUGGUGGUGGUGGUGGUAGGGGCACGGGGGCGCAUGGUGACCGAGCUAGAGGGGAAAGGGGCGAUGGGCACCAUGGGAACACAACAGCGAUCUUCACAGCUUCUGACGGCACAGGGUGUGUGUGAAGGGGGUGUGUAGGGCUAGGGAGGAGGGAGGAGCGGUACUUUAUUACAUUCAACGACUUGUGAGUGAAACAUUUACCUGAGGUAGGUGGGAGACGAGCCCCUCCUCCCUCCCAGCUUGACAGCCCCGCUAUUCAGUGUAGUCACAUCUCUCUGUAGUGCGUGUAUCCCUAUCGUGUAUUAACACGCAGUUUAUCAUGUGCGUCGGUGUGUUAGGUGGGAACACUCGCAGUUUAUCAGUCCUUUAGUGUUACUGAAUUCGUCUUUUGUGAACUGUUCCUGCUGUCUGUGUGACUGCUCGUCCGACAGGCUUUCACUGGAGUGACAGAGGAGGGCACAGAUGCUGCUCCAGGCCGCAUGCGCAGUCAGCUACUUCCCAGCAGGACGCCUCCAGCCUUGUUUAUUUUCAUCGCCCUGCUGCGCCACGAGAUUCCCUUGGCAUCUUCGCUCUCGUCUGAUACCAACACGAGAACAGCAUGCAAGGAGUUUGCCUACACAUGGCAGUCAUUUGUAUUUACAUGGGGCAUUCAGUUUAAUCUACUCCUGGUCGCCAUCUUGCUCUGUUACAAGUCGGUGCGAGGAGACGAGGGAGUAUCGAGUAUCUAAGUGGUGAAUUCCUUCUCAUCCGACCAGCGCUCUCACAAACACGGAGUUCACAGACAAGAGAGGAUGGGCAGAGAGGUCUUUUCGAAACUUUCCAUCAGCUGUCAUGUUUUUGGCGAAAGACAUCUUAUCUCAACUUGUCAAGUGCCAAGAUCGGGUCUCCAGCCAUAAAAGCGGGAAGAC